CCAAGUGGUGAUGAGGAUGACUCUGAUGAAUUUGAAACAUCUAACCUCAUCAAGAAAGCUGCUGACAAAACUGAGGUAGAAACAAAUGAUGUCGUGAAAGAUGAGCUGGCUGAUUCUUCCAUAGAUGAACUAGUGGAGUCAAUGAAAGACCUCAAAUCGCCUGAGAAACAAAAGUUUCGAAGGAAACGACGGCCAUGAAAAAAAUACGCAGUGAAAGACUGUAUGUGGCUAGUGCCUUAUACUUAUAGCAGGAUUUUUUUAAUUAAAUGCAGUAUUUGUAGCGAAAAUGUUUGGUUUUGUCAUUA